UACAGAGGUCUCAAGCGUUGUUCGGAUUCAUUGGGCGUAAAGGGUGUGUAGGUGGCGCCGUAAGUCGGGUGUGAAAUUUCGGAGCUUAACUCCGAAACUGCAUUCGAUACUGCGGUGCUUGAGGACUGGAGAGGAGACUGGAAUUCCUGGUGUAGCGGUGAAAUGCGCAGAUAUCAGGAGGAACACCGGUGGCGAAGGCGGGUCUCUGGGCAACAACUGACGCUGAGGAGCGAAAGCGUGGGGAGCGAACAGG
rnacentral:rRNA from 1 species